AUGGAGGAGGAGGAUGAGGAAGACUGGGCCCUGCUUGUAGGUGGCCCUGACGAGGCCAACAGAGGUUCCCUCACCACCCCCAGGGCCCUGCUGGCCCUCUGUGACCCCAGUCGCCUGGCACACCAGCUUUUGGUGCUGUUACUGAUGUGCAUCCUUGGCUUCAGCAGCCAUUUUUGCUAUGACAACCCUGCUGCCCUUCAGACUCAGGUUAAAUGGAUGGGGCAGAAUUGUUUUUAGCUGCUUUGUUUGCAUUGGGCAGGUUGGUUUUGCUCCGGGUGGAAUAUUUAAUGUUUUUUGGCUGAUGGAAUUUGGAAGAUUUGUAUUUGGGAUUGGUGGAGAGUCCUUAGCAGUUGCCCAGUUGUACAUAUGCUGUGAGCUGGUUUAAAGGCAAAUAAUUAAGCCUGGUGUUUGGACUUAAACUUAGCAUGGCUAGAAUUGGAAGUAUAGCAAACACGAAUCUCAUAAGAUGGCUGUAUUCUAAGACUGAAGCUUUGUUAGGCUCUGCUGGUCACACAAUCCUUGGGGUCACACUUGUGAUCAUGGGUGUAACAUGUAUUCUUUCACUAAUCUGUGCCUUGACUCUUGCCUACUUGGAUCAGAAAGCAGAGAGAAUAUUUCAUAAAGAACAAGGAAAAACAGGUGAAGUUAUUAAAUUAAAUGAUGUAAAGGACUUCUCCUUACCCUGUGGCUCAUAUUUAUCAUCUGUCUCUGCUGUUGUGUUGCCGUGUUGCGUUUUACUGGACUUGGAAAUGUAUUCUUUACAGAGAAAUGCAGAUUUUCUUCCCAGGCAGCAAGUGCAGUUAACAGUAUUGUAUACGUCAUAUCAGCUCCCAUGUCCUCAGUAUUUGGCUGGUGGAUAAAACAGGGAGGAACGUCAUCUGGGUUCUGCGUGUGAUAGCAGCCACUCUUGUGUCCCACAUGAUGCUGGCCUUUACAAUGUGGAACCCUUGGAUUGCUAAGCGUCUUCUGGGAAUUUCCUAUUCAUUGCUUGCCUAUGCAUUGUGGCCAAUGGUGGCAUCUGUAAUUUCUGAACAUCAGCUGGGAACUGCAUGUGGCUUCAUGCAGGUCCAUUCAGAAUCUUGGGUUGGCCAUCAUUUCCAUCACUGCUGCUUUGAUACUGGAUUCUCGGGGGCAUUUGUUUUCAGAAGUUUUCUUCAUCGUUUGUGUUUCUUUGUCACUUUUACCUGUGGUCUUAUUCCAUUUGGUGAAUCAUGCCCAGGGUGGAAACCUAAAUUAUUCUGCAAGACAAAGGGAAGAAAUAACCUUUUCUCAUACUGAAUGAGAAGUUUAAAAGAACGUGUCAUGAAAAUGGGCUUAAUACAUCAUUGGUUCGAAAACCUCCAUUU